rnacentral:pre_miRNA from 1 species
AGCCUUCUGUAUCCUUACUGAGAUUUCGUCAGUGAUCAACUGGCUAGGGCUGAUGCAACUCCCCAAAUAAGUAAAGUG